AUUGGCCAAAGGUCGAGCGGACAGAUGGGAGCUUGCUCCCUGAUGUUAGCGGCGGACGGGUGAGUAACACGUGGGUAACCUGCCUGUAAGACUGGGAUAACUCCGGGAAACCGGGGCUAAUACCGGAUGCUUGUUUGAACCGCAUGGUUCAAACAUAAAAGGUGGCUUCGGCUACCACUUACAGAUGGACCCGCGGCGCAUUAGCUAGUUGGUGAGGUAAUGGCUCACCAAGGCAACGAUGCGUAGCCGACCUGAGAGGGUGAUCGGCCACACUGGGACUGAGACACGGCCCAGACUCCUACGGGAGGCAGCAGUAGGGAAUCUUCCGCAAUGGACGAAAGUCUGACGGAGCAACGCCGCGUGAGUGAUGAAGGUUUUCGGAUCGUAAAGCUCUGUUGUUAGGGAAGAACAAGUACCGUUCGAAUAGUCGGCCGUACCGUGACCGUACCUAACAAGAAAGCAAAGGCUAACUACGUCCCAGCAGCCACGGUAAUACGUAGCUGGCAAGAGUCGUCAGGAAUUAUCGGACAUAAAGGGCCUCGCAGGCGGUCUUCUUAAGUCUGAUGUGAAAGCCCCCUGGCUCAACCGGGGAGGGUCAUAGGAAACUGGGGAACUUGAGUGCAGAAGAGGAGAGUGGAAUUCCACGUGCAGCGGAUGAAAUGCGUAGAGAUGUGGAGGAACACCAGUGGCGAAGGCGACUCUCUGGUCUGUAACUGACGCUGAGGAGCGAAAGCGUGGGGAGCGAACACGAUUACAUACCCUGGUAGUCCACGCCGUAAACAAUGAGUGCUAACUGUUAGGGGGUUUCCGCCCCCUUACUGCUGCAGCUAACGCAAUUAAGCAAUCAGCCCGGCGGAGUACGGACGCAAGGACUGAAACUCAAAGGAAUUAGACAGGGGCCCGCACAAGCAGUGGAGCAUGUAGUUUAAGUUAGAAUGCAACGCCAACAACCAUAAACCAGGGCGUGACAUCCUCCUGAUCAAUCCUAGAGAUAGGACGUCCCCUUCGGGGGCAGAGUGACAGGUGGUGCAUGGUUGUCGUCAGCUCGUGUCGUGAGAUGUUGGGUUAAGUCCCGCAACGAGCGCAACCCUUGAUCUUAGUUGCCAGCAUUCAGUUGGGCACUCUAAGGUGACUGCCGGUGACAAACCGGAGGAAGGUGGGGAUGACGUCAAAUCAUCAUGCCCCUUAUGACCUGGGCUACACACGUGCUACAAUGGACAGAACAAAGGGCAGCGAAACCGCGAGGUUAAGCCAAUCCCACAAAUCUGUUCUCAGUUCGGAUCGCAGUCUGCAACUCGACUGCGUGAAGCUGGAAUCGCUAGUAAUCGCGGAUCAGCAUGCCGCGGUGAAUACGUUCCCGGGCCUUGUACACACCGCCCGUCACACCACGAGAGUUUGUAACACCCGAAGUCGGUGAGGUAACCUUUUUUAGGAAGCCCAAGGCC
rnacentral:rRNA from 1 species